AAGUCGUAACAAGGUUUCCGUAGGUGAACCUGCGGAAGGAUCAUUAUGAAUUUGAAUGUGUGCUGCUUCAUUUCGGUGGAGUAUGUGCUAUUCUUCUUCUGUGAACUGGUACAUGUUAUUGAAGCCUUUCUUUGGGUUUGGCUUCAUUAGCUAGUGCGAUUUGGGUUUAUUUGUAGUCUUUUUUUUAUUCCAUUAGUGUUGAUUUGUCUACUAUUGCGCCUGUUGUUGAUGGCAGAUCUUCUUUGAGACUUUCUCUGUGCUUUUUUGGGCUGGCACUUUUUGUUUGGGUAGAAAAGGUCUUUUGAGGGAUUUGGAAUCGAUAAUAUGCAGUGGAAGGGAAAUGAAUGCUUAAACCGAGACAACUUUCAGCAAUGGAUCUCUUGGCUCUU
rnacentral:misc_RNA from 1 species